rnacentral:lncRNA from 1 species
GUCAGAACAAAGACUGUGUGUGUGAGGAAAAAGCUGGAGAUAUUUGUUUACUGGAAGGAAGAAAACUGAGAUUAAAAAUUGCAGUUAGCAGGGGAGAAGGUGUCUUCCUUCCCGCUGGCAUUGCCCUGUGCCUGCGAGCCAGCCAGCCGUGCUCACAAGGAGCCUUGGAGAGGGCUGCGUCCGCCUCUGUGCAAGAUGCUGAACCAGUGAAGAGGGCACGCUGGGCAGGGGGAGGGGCUGCCUCGGCCCUGGGAGGUGGAGGUGCAGCCGGGAACUUGGAGCUUUCGCUUAAACAUAAGGAAUGAUUUUUUCUCAUCAACAGAUCUACAGCGAGAUAUUGAACAACACAGCGCAGGGGUGGAGUCCGUGUUUAACAUCUGUGACGUCCUACUGCACGACUCCGAUGCCUGUGCAAAUGAGACCGAGUGUGACUCGAUCCAGCAGACCACCAGGAGCCUGGACAGACGCUGGAGGAACAUUUGUGCCAUGUCCAUGGAGCGGCGCAUGAAAAUCGAGGAGACGUGGCGCCUGUGGCA